rnacentral:lncRNA from 1 species
UGAUUUUGAUUAAUAAAAAUAGAACUAAAGAAUAGAGAAAAGAAAUCUAAGUUUAAUGAGAACAGAACUAAAGAACAGAGAAAGAAGAAAUCUGGGUUACCUGCAACAAGAAAGAAUUACCAGAGAAUGAGAAGAAGGAAGAUAAAAAACAAAUCUCCAGUGCCGAUCAAGGAAAUCUCAAAGAACUAAACUUACUUGGGAAAACUCAGAUCACAAGUUACUGCUCUUCUCGUCCACGAGUCUUGUAUUUAAAACCCAAAUAUUCUGUUUUUUCCCAACUAUUUCCAACUGCCUCCUUUGGAAUCCAUAAUUUCAAUUUAUUCGGAUCCUCUAAUUUAAUCGGAUCCUUCAUUUAACUUAACAGAUAUCAUAUUACUUUCCUCUUUUUUUUUCUAGGUUGAUAAACAGACUCGUCUAGCCAGACGCCUUAGGGUUUCAAGCCCCCUCGUAGGAAUGACUGCUGCCAUUCCCCAAACUCGACUUGUGUGGUGCAGAAGCUCGACCAGACUCGAAUUACUCCGAAAAAUGAUUUGACCAGACUGCCCCAUCGGGUCGGUUAGCCUCGUCAGACUCAAACUCGAAUUCCCACAUGGUUCACCCGACUCAUAUCCCCGAAGGGUCACAUUAUCAGACUUAGCCUCUCAGCUCAGACUCAGACUUAGCCUCUUAGCCUAUGUAUAAAUCAUGUUGAACUUGCAUAAGACAUGCACAAGGAUUCAUAAUCAUGAUUAUCAUCAAAACACAUAAAAAUCAUAUGUGAAAACGUGUAUACAACUAUGUAUAAAUCACAGUCAAAAUAUAUACAAACAAUGAGACUGAACCUCAUAAUUAUUGUGACCGGCCAAAUGAAAAAUCGCAUUAGGUAAAUGAUUUUAAUUAGCUAAAUUUAAUUUAAUUUAAAAUUAUUCUAUUAUUUAAAUGAUUUUUUAUUAAUUUAAUAUUAGUCGUCAAUAAAAAUACAGUUUACACUAGCGUGAGAACGGGGUAGGGCAGAUAUUCUGCCCCUUUUUUCCCCUUGUACCCUGCUGUCCGGUCAUAUUCCGGGGUGAGUCUCGAGGCAGGGCGAAACCCGCGCGGGUCGCCCCGGUUUAAAAAUAAUAAUUUUUAUUUUUUUUUAAUAAAUUAAAUUAUAUUAGAAAUAGGAUUAUUAAGAUUAAAAAUUUAUUAUAUUUUUAAGCUUAAGUCUUAGGUCUUAAACCUUAUGUCCAUUUUAUAUUUAUUUUUUGUUUUUGCUUUUAAAAAUUAGGGUAAAAAGUUUACCCAUUUUAAAUUUUAGGUUUACUUUUUUAGUUAUUUUUUUAUAAUUUUUUUAAUUCCAGCCGGGUCGCUUCGGAUCCGUCCCGUUCCGCGUCCCAGUCAUCGGAUCCAGGGCAGGAACCGGAGCAGGGGAUCAAGGUACCUGACCUACCUCGUUCUGGCAAAAUGACUAUUUAAAUAUUUAAUUAUUUUAAAAUUUAAUUGAUUUAAACGAUUAUUGAAGCUCGAAGUUCUUAUAUAGCAUGUAUAAUUUGAAAUAUUAUAAUUACAUAAGAUGGUAAUAGAAUAAUCCCACAUUGUAAAAAUGUAAAAGUGCUUCCAUAGUUCAAAUUUUUGGAAGGACAUCCAUAGUUCUUUUAAACAUGGCUAUUGUUUUCCCAUGGAUAUGAACAAUUUCUGGAAGGGCUUCCUAAAAUCAAGGGUAAAAGCCUUAAAAAAAACAUAAAUUAAAAAUUUUGAUUUUCAUUUUGAUGGUGUGUGGGCUCGCGCUAGGGUGCUCACACACACAACUCUCUAGUAUUGCUCUCACUAAUAAUUGACCUCCUCCCUUGUUGCACAUAAGGAGGUAUUUAUAACCAAUUUCCCUGGGCCUAUUGAGACCAAUAGUCCUGUUCGGCCCAUGGUCCGUUUGAACGGGCCCUAGUACCAACAGUACUCCCCCCCGGCCGGGGGGGGUUAAAGGCCGCCCGACCCACCCAUCUACUCUCUUAAUGACGCUUCGUUUUUUGUGCCUCUCUCUUUCGCAUCUUAAUUUUUUCUCCAUAAAUAGCUGACUCCAUGUGCCCACUCUUUCAUCUCGCGAGAAAACGAUGAGCGCCCAAGAUCUUUUGGAGGAGUUCGACCGCGAAGUGAAACUCCAAAAUUCUGCGUGGACUGAGUGUCUGCUGCUGCCUGUCGGUGCCUUCCAAUCUGUUGCUGUAUCGAUGAGUUAGCGGCUCAACUCCGUCCUGAUCGACAUCCACCGCAGUCUCGCCCAGCUUCGCCAAGUUGACAUGCCCACAUCCUCUGGCGCGCCGGUCGCUUUCGUUGCCACUGCUUCUGCUGGCACCGUGACCUCGAGCUUCUGUUGCUCUAUGCACGACGCGACUGCCGCUGCUCUAGUUGUGGGCGGUGGCCGCCGUCGACGCUCUCGCAGUCGUCUCGGUUCACGUGGGUCCCCGUCCCUUACCGCUACUGAUUUGCGGCACCUUUUGUCGAGGCCGCCUAAGUCGGGCCACUAGGCCCGCGUUCACGCCAGAUGUGUGGGGCGCUUUUGUUCGAUCACUAUAUCGGACAGCGUCUCACCUAUUCCUGGGCCCCUGCAGGGUGCCGUCUGGUGCUAACUCCCUCCUCUUCCUUCUUUGGUAUGAGAUUACCUAGAGGGAGACUGUGUGGUUCCCCCGACUUGCUCCCACUACUCUUUUUUCUUUAAUGCACGCUUACAUUUUGACAUUAUUUUGUAACUUAUGGCAUGUACUUGUGGCUUUUGUUGUAAUUUUGUAUCGCGUUCGGGCUUGUAAUGAAUCUCAACACUUGAAAUUAUUUUGAUUACUUGCACUUUUAAAUUCUAAACGGCUUUUCUUCUUUAAUGCCUCUGUUCAUGCAGUUGACUUACCCUCACCGCCCAUUGUUGAUCUGGCCUGCGUCCUACUCGAGCUCCGCUCAUCCGUCGAUCCGCUCCCAAAAUCGUCCGAUGCCCUUCGGCACUCGGGCGACGCUCCUUCGGCCCUACGGUCCCUCUUCGGCCAGCCGGACUCGUCCGGCUUCGGGCCUGGUUCCCUUGUCGGGGCGUCGCCCAAAAUAAAUCCGCCUUGCGCUCAUCGUGACCCACCGUCGGACGAGCUCGCCGCCCCCUCAAGCCCUCUCACUCGGUAUCUCGGGUGGUCUGGGUGCUCUUCGGAUGUGACCCCAGGGCCGCGCCACUCGUGUCAUGUUUCAUCGUAUGCCUUGUUUUCGGACGCGCUGGGCUACGGGCCUGGUCGUGCCUUUAUCGGCCACCCUCGUGGGCCUAUAUCCCUAGAGAUAGUCAGGUAUUCGCGACUCUUCGUCUUCUGAACCACCGUCCUUAUAAAUACUACUUUCCUUCACCUCUUACUACUUUCCUUUUUUGCUUCUUUCUUCCUGCUUCCACUUUCUAAACUCCGACGAUUUCCUUACAGGCCUACAAUGUCUGAUCCCCACACUCCAGUUGCCUCGCCUGACGCCAUGGUCGACGACCUCUUUCACUGCGUGUUCCCUCCUGACGCGGAUACUAAGAACACGCUCUCCAAGGCUACCUCGUCGAUGUGUCAGGAGGCCCUCCGGGAGAUGUAUAAGUACAAGGACACCCCGAAAUACAAGUUGUCGGGGAAGCUUGUUGCCUCGUAUCUGCCGCCUGACCACGUCGCGGUCUACAUUCCCUAUGUGGACACUUGCAUGACAAUGCCGCUCUUUCCCUUCCUUCAAGCGGUCAUCAGUCACUGUAGGCUGUCGCUCUCGCAGUUUCUUCCGACCGUCGUGGAUCGUAUCCUCACCGUCAGCACCCUUUUUGCAAAAUGCGAUAUUGUGCCCACUGUCCCCUGUUCCUCAACUGGUUCCACAUCUACCCGAUGACUAUCGACCGGAACCGUGUCCUUGUUGCCUCUCGGCGGGCCCUUUUCGAGACUCUGCCUGAUCGCGCGCACGGGUGACGUGAUCAAUUCUUUUUCGUGGAGCUGGCUUUCCUCGGGCCCCUUGAACACGCUCCCGUAGGGUGGGAGUCAUUGGACACCCUGAAGGCUCACACUGGUAUCAUUCCUUUCCAUCGUCUGAGUGCCGCUGAACAGGCAGCGAACGACCUGCUUGUUGGGAUUUCUCGUUGUGGUCUUGUGAGGCCCGGCCGUCUCGGGCGUGAUUGGUCCAUUAAGGGGCAUUUGAGACCUGCUGGGGACCCCAGCGGCGAUGAGGUGGAGGAGGUCGCCUCCCCUCCCCGAAAGAAGAAGAAGACCCACGUUGUCCGCCUGGAGGAUACUCGCUCUUUGGAUUUGAGCGUCGGAAACUCCGGCGGUGAUAAUAUGGUCGAGCUCUCCCUUCGUAAUGUCCGUUCGGAGAAAAGGAAGAUCGAGGCGGCGAAGUAACCUGAGCCUGCUCUAGAGGCCCCGAGGAAAUUCGAGGAAGGAGAAGGCUCCAGGCACAACGUUUCUAACCCCGCCUACGACUUAGACGGGAGAUGCUGGCUCGCUAGGCGUUCAACGCCGACUUGGACUCAGCUCUUCUUGCGGGCAAGUAUCAAGCCGACCCCGCGCACGUUGACCCCUCUGCUUCCAUUCCUCAAAUGGUGGGGAUACUCCUGAAGGGCUUCAACCAUCUCCAGCCGUUUCUCCAGGACGAGCCAGAGUACAUGGACCUGUUCGCGCGCGACAUUUCGGCGCUUGACCGGGACCUUUACGUUGACAGCCUUCGUGGUGCUGCUCUUGCCUACGUGCGUCUUCAACGGGGCCUUGACUUGAAGGAGGAACACAACUGGCUCAAUGCGCAGGUCGCUUGUCUGUCAAGGAAGGUUUCUUUUGCUGCGGCUACGCGCGACCAGGCGGUGUCAGAGGCGUCGAAGGACGUGGAGGUCCACCGGGUUCGGUUGGAGCAGGUGUCCUGUGAAAAGGUCGUACUGGGUCAGAGUAUCGUUGACGUCAAGCAGCAGAUCCAGAGCUAUUCGUCCCAGCUGAAGUGAGAGGAGUCCCGUGCUGCCGAGGCCAACGAGACUCUCGCCCGGGUAACCAAGUGCGCGGAAAAGUUGGCCUAAGACGGCCGUGCCGAGACCAUUUCCUCCAUGUCCGACAAAUUCCAGGCCAAUUUUGCUGAGUCCCAGGACGAGGCUCGGCGCCGGAUCGUGGUCGAGAAGCGCGCGGGGUUCUGGAAGGGUUACGAGCAUUGUCACGCCAUGUGCAACCUUUCCUGUCCAGACCUUGAGGCCGUCGUUGUGCCCCGGACCCAGUCUGAGUGGGAGCACUGGCAAGCGGUUGAUGGGGCCGGUCCUCCCAAAUUGUAGCCUCCUACCUACGCGUGCGAGAGCGAAGAGGAGAACUUGGACGCUGACAUUCCCGACUAUGUUUCGCCGACUCCCCCGUCCUGACUGCCGUGAUUCCUUUUGUGUUAUUCCCUUUUUUCUUUAUUUUUUUUCGGACCUGUAAAUAAAAACACUUUUUUGUUUUCGCAUAUCGCUUUCGCAUUCUUACUUUUAUGCUUUUGGUCGGGGCGGCCUGGACGAACCGGCUGCCUUUUCCUGGCCUAUCGGCCUUAGGUGCAUCUGAGCGUCUUUGGCGACAGGCCCCUUUCAUAUUUUUCUCUUCGUAUUCUUAUGAUUUUCCAGCUGUCAAAGCGCUCCGAGGGAGGGGGGCGGCGAUGUCCUACGAUCGGCAGUCUCUCCCCAGGUGCUUGGGUGGCAGGUUCCUACUUCUUCCUUUUUUUCACUUAGUGUCGAGAAAAAGUUAUAAGAUCGGGACAAAAAUCGGGGUGGACCUUGAUUUCUUCGGCCAUGAAAGAAAAGGAGAAAACACAAGUAUUGGCUGUUUCUAGUUCGUCCCGGGCCAUGACGUCGCUUUCGGCCUUCAGCGCCUGUAUUUUUCGAGGUUGUCCACGUAUCAGGUCCUCUCUAUUACUUGCCCGUCCUCGUAACCGAGGCGUAAGAUGCGGGGCAGGACCUCGUCCAUGAUCACAUACGGGUCUUCCCACCUUGGCGACAACUUCCCCUUAGUUUUAUCUACGCCUUUUACUUUGGCAUUCCUCAGGACUAGGUCACCCGGUGCCAAGCUCUUCUCGGCCACCCUCUCGUUGUGGUACCUAGCCACCCUUCGUUUGUAUGUGAGGUCUCUGAGGGCGGCUUCCUCUCUUCGCUCCUCUCGGUACUCGCUUGCGAGGAGUAUUGCCCUGUCAUUUGCCCCCGGCUGGAAUAUAUCGCUCUAUCCUAUCCGUCGGCCAUACCAACUCCGUGGGGGCCACCGCCUCCAUCCCGAAUGCGAGGGUGAAUGGUGUCUGGCCCGUUGGCGUCCGAAUAAUUGUCCGGUAGGCCCACAUGGUUUCCGGAAUCUUGUCCGCCUAGGUCCCCGAGUAUUCACCCACCUUUCUUUUUAGAAUGCAUGGAUACGAUGGUGUGGUUUGUCACCUCUACUUGACCGUUCGAUUGUGGGUGGUAAAUCGGGGCGAAGCUCAGCUUGAUUCCGUUGUCCUCGCAUAAUUCCCUUAGCUUCUUUCCCGUGAACUACGUCCCGUUGUCCGUUAUUAUUUGGAUUGGGACCCCGAAACGGCACACGAUGCUCGUGAACAUGAAGUUCUCUACGUUUUUCUCAGUGAUCGCGCUGGUGGCCUCCGCCUCGGCCCACAUUGAUCCCGGUUGACGGAAGUGACUGGUGUACAGUCCUGUGUUAGGAAUGUUCUAUCUAAAUUUUAGGACAGAUGUAAAAUAAUUUAACAGUAAUCACUAACCAAUUACAUUAACCAUAAUUAAACUGAAAUCCAUAUCUAGCUUUAUAAGCUCGCAAGCCCGAGUUCAAGCUUGACCCAUAAUUGGACAAUGUUUGGGUUCACCAAGGAAAUUACAGGACCCAACCUAGACCUAUUAAAAUCCUGAAAUGCCUUUUUAUUAUUUUUUUUAAAACAAAUGGUACUUCUUACAUGAUUUUGAAAUGCUUACCGUCUAGUAAAAUAUGAGUAUAUAAUAAUAUAUUAUCGGAUAAAUCGCAGUCAAAAUAUAUACAAAAAAUGAGACUGGACCAUAUAAUUACUGUGACCGUUCAUAUGAACAAUCUCCUUACGUGUUUAUAAAUAACCAAGCGUCAAUAAUAGUCGCCAAAAAUGUUCAAUUUUAUGUAUUGUAUAGGGUUUAUAAAUUAACAAAAUUGAAUUGAAUUUGAAAAUUAUUCUAUUGUUUAAAUGAUUUUUGAUUAAUAAAUAUAGUUGUCAAUAAAAAUACAGUUUACACUCUAAAAGUUUAUUGUGUUUUAAAAUUUAAAUAUUUAAUUAUUUUAAAAUUUAAUUGAUUUAAACGAAUAUUGAAUCUCAAAGUUCUUAGCAUGUAUGAUUUGAAAUAUUAUAAUUAUAUAAGAUGGUAAUAGAAUAAUCCCACAUUGUAAAAAUGUAGAAGUGAGAUGGCAACAAUUUCCUAUAUAAAAAGAGAGGAACAGGCAUUCCCAUAGUUCAAAUUUUUGGAAGGACAUCCAUGGUUCCUUUAAACAUGGCAAUUGUUUUCCCAUCGAUAUGAACAAUUUCUGGAAGGGCUUCCUAAAAUCAAGGGUAAAGUCUUAAAAAAACAUAAAUUAAAAAUUUUGAAUUUCAUUUCUUCCCAUAUAUUAACAGUGCCAACAUGAUAUAGAUAUUCAGGUACGACCCUUGAAUGCGCAAUUGUACGUCAUCAAGUCAUGACCAGUAAUAUUUAAUCCAAUGUCUAAAAUAAUAUAAUGCACAGGACACUAACAUAUGUACGACAUAAAAUAAUAUACUGCAUAAGAUACUAACACAUGUACGACGCAAAAUCGAUCUAAUCGAUAUAGUCAACUUGGUACAUAUAGUAUUAGACAUAUAUCAACCAGGCGAACCCGGCUCCUUACGGCACACAAUUCGUUUAUGAUUAGCUUGGGCAUGUAGCAAUUUGAUGUAAGUAAAAGUUGUUAAACAUCUUCUGAAUUUAUAUAAAUAUAAUAACAGUAGAUGGAAUUAUUUAGGAUUGUGAGUUUGGAAUAAACUAUAUUACAGUUUGAAUUAUUUAGUCAAUAAUGAAAUUAAUUGUUUUGAUUUUUUUUUUAAAUUUCAUGACCUAUUUGCUUUUAAUGAUAAUUGAAACAUAUAUAACAUAAAAUUAAACCUGAAAAUAAACAUACGACAUACAAGCAAUAAUUUAGAGUAAUAUCAAUAGAGAGUAUGAUGAAUAGAACCAUAUGUCAAUAGAGAGUAAUACAAUGUUGCCAAAAUCGUAAUGAUAAGAUCAGUUACCUAUUUACAUAGUUACCUUCUCCAUUGUUGGAAAUUUUGAUAACUAAAUUUCACUAUUUUUCUAAUGUACUUGAAUUUAGAACUUUAGAUGCAGUUACUGCAUGUUGUUAAAAAAAUAAGAAGGGUUGCCUAAUUGCCUUUGGUUUCUUGUUUUAUUUUUAUAACUUUUUGUCAAGGGUAAUUGUCUAAUUCUCUAUAAUUGGUAUUUAGUUUUUCUGAAAAUGCUUUGUUUAAUAAUUACAUGAUUUAUAUCUAAAUAAAUAUGGAUAAUUAUACGUAGUUUAAUAAUCCAGUGAGGAGGAGAAUCCAGAAACAUUUUUGGAUAUGGUUCUCUAAUAUGGAUUCGGGUAUGUCAAUUCUGAACCCAAUAUCAAAUUGACAUUACAGAACAUCAGAAAAACUUAUUUUACAGGGAAAUGAUUGAAAAUCAAAAUUACAGUUCAAUUUCAGAGUUCAGACAAAAUUUCUUUUCGAAAUUUAUAAAAAUGCAAUCGGUAUCGGAAAGAGAAUCAGAUGCAGCAACUUUUGAAAUGAGAAACAAUAUGAAAACCCAUUUCGAAUAUAUAUCAAUUAAAUUAAAAAAAAAACUCUGAAAGUCUAGGGUCAGAUGUUGGAUCAAAAUUCUCACAAUUAUUGGGAUCUAUAGGAAUACAAACACGACCUGUAGUAAAGCAAAAAAACCAUCCAAAUCACAGUAAAAUUCUCUAUAUUCAGAAACAUAAAGACCCAUGAUUUAAGUAACAUAACUUUUGAUUAAAAUAGAACCCAUGAUUUAAAAUAGAACAAGUGCAGUACUUUAAACAACAGAACUUUAAAUACAUGAUUUUAAGCAGAGAAAUACCCAAUCAUAUUGGAGAAAUAUGAUUGGGCUUUAAACAGAGAAAUAUUUUAAAUGAGGAUUGUAUUGUGAAAAAUGUUGUGAUUGUGAUUAUGAUUUAGGGAGGAUUGUAUUGUGAAAUAUUUUUCACCAAGAACAUAAAACUAAACCGGAGGAUGUCAUAGAACUCACCAAAUCCUCACUGUCAUCACUGUCCUCACUGCGGAAGAUGAAGAACUCGAUCACUGUCCUCAUUGCGCCUGCCGGAAGAUGAAGAACUCGCGCGCGCCGGAAGAUGAAGAAGUCGCAGUCGCCGAUGCCGGAAUGGAAUGCAAGAAAUCAAUCGGAACGAUUGGAUUUGGGAGAAAUUGAAAAUCGGGAGGGGUUCGGGUUUAGAGAUUUGGGGAUUUUAAU